AGAUGGAAGAGUCUCCUGGAUACUUUAAAGUAUGCUGUACAGCUCUGCUUAUCAUAUAACUCUUGUAGAUGAGUGAUCAUAGCCCUAGCAGUGGACAUAUGCUCAUACUGGCUCUAUAACUCGUUUGACAUGAAAGCCAGCACAUAGCACUUAAUCUGACUAUCUUCAUCCAUCCAUCUUUCAUAUGCUAUUCUUUGCUCAGUAGUAGGAUGG
rnacentral:lncRNA from 1 species